rnacentral:rRNA from 1 species
GACGUAGGGGGCGAGCGUUGUCCGAAGUUACUGGGCGUAAAGCGCGCGUAGGCGGCCUCUUAAGUUGGGUGUGAAAUCCUGCGGCCCAACCGCAGAACUGCAUCCAAAACUGGGAGGCUUGAGGACGGAAGAGGGCAGUGGAAUUCCUGGUGUAGCGGUGAAAUGCGUAGAUAUCAGGAGGAACACCCGUGGCGAAGGCGGCUGCCUGGUCCGUAUCUGACGCUGAGGUGCGAAAGCCAGGGGAGCGAAAGGG